rnacentral:rRNA from 1 species
GUCCACGCCUUAAACGAUGGAUACUAGAUGUCGGGAGAACUUACCCUCUCGGUAUCGCAGCUAACGCAUUAAGUAUCCCGCCUGGGGAUUACGGCCGCAAGGUUAAACUCAAAGAAAUUGACGGGGCCCGCACAAGCGGUGGAGAAUGUUGUUUAAUUCGAUGCUACGCGAAAACCUUACCUGGGCUUGACAUCCGACGCUACCCUAUGAAAAGUAGGGGUUCUCGCAAGAGACGUCGAGACAGGUGUUGCAUGGCUGUCGU